rnacentral:lncRNA from 1 species
AAAGAAUCUCCACCCUCUAAGAAGUCCAUCUCCAAUCCCCCUAUCUUUCUUCCCGAUGGCCCAGCUGGAUCAGAAGUGACGUGAGGGAAGGAAAACCAAGACCAAAACCAAAGUGAAGUCCAUCUCCAAUCCCCCUAUCCUUCUCCCCUCUAUUUCUCUCCACCCAAAACAAAACUAAUAUCCCCAAAUCCCUCGUCGCUCUCUCUCCCUGCCGGCCCAAGAGAAAGCCCUCGCCCCAAAUCCCCUU